rnacentral:lncRNA from 1 species
AUCAAGUCCAGGAUGCAGCAUCUGUCUCAGUUUUUGGCGUAGGAUGACAGUCUGAAAUACACUUACUGAAUUUGAAUAAGAACGGGCUCAGGUAUGAUCCUGUUUAAGGACUGGAUUUAGGAUAACUACUUAGAGGUUAAAAGUCACAAGGGUGUAUGGAUGAGGCUGGAGUGAUUUGGGACCAAAGACAUCUAGGCUUGCUGUCAAAGCUUCUGUUCAACAUGAGAUGACCGCCGUGUAGUAAACUGAUGAACCCCGACCCUGAUCAACGUCAGAUGAAUGCCGUGUGGUAAACUGAUGAACCCCGACCCUGAUCAACGUGAGAUGAACGCCGUGUGGUAAACUGAUGAACCCCGACGCUGAUGAACGUGAGAUGAACGCCGUGUGGUAAACUGAUGAACCCCAACCCUGAUGAACAUGAGAUGAACGCCGUGUGGUAAACUGAUGAACCCCGACCCUGAUGAAUGUGAGAUGACCGCUGUGUGGUAAACUGAUGAACCCUGACCCUGAUCAACAUGAGAUGACCGCUGUGUAGUAAACUGAUGAACCCUGACCCAUUAGGCUUUGGCUACAGAAUGUGGAAAUAAGUUGUGUUACUACAUGUGUGUAAUCCUAGGGUGCAGGACACUGGCCGGGAGGUUCCAUAGAGUGAUGGGUUGUGCAGGUAACUCAUCCUCUAGUCCUCUGUAAGCUCCUAGAAGGAAGAAAUUAUGUCCUUUAGACUAAUAAAAUUCCUCCAAACCAAAUACAGCACCUACUGUGAAGACACAAAGAUACUUUUAGAAUAGUAAAAACUUUAUCCAUUGAGAAAUUCCUUAAUGAAACAGUAUCCAAGAAGUCAUUUGCCAGCAGAUUUCUUAGAGGUGCGAUAAAGAAGAGGACAUUGCCAGUCGUCACAGCAGCUGCAAUAGCUCCUCUCUAUUGUUAAACAGUGGCAUAUCUUGUACAGGUUUUCAGUUGACAAUCAAUUUUAAAAAUUAGUUUCGGUCCCAUCAAUCAAUUAUUUAUUAACCCAUCAAUAAAAAUU